GCGGCAGGCCUAACACAUGCAAGUCGAGCGGAAACGAGUUAUCUGAACCUUCGGGGAACGAUAACGGCGUCGAGCGGCGGACGGGUGAGUAAUGCCUGGGAAAUUGCCCUGAUGUGGGGGAUAACCAUUGGAAACGAUGGCUAAUACCGCAUAAUAGCUUCGGCUCAAAGAGGGGGACCUUCGGGCCUCUCGCGUCAGGAUAUGCCCAGGUGGGAUUAGCUAGUUGGUGAGGUAAUGGCUCACCAAGGCGACGAUCCCUAGCUGGUCUGAGAGGAUGAUCAGCCACACUGGAACUGAGACACGGUCCAGACUCCUACGGGAGGCAGCAGUGGGGAAUAUUGCACAAUGGGCGCAAGCCUGAUGCAGCCAUGCCGCGUGUAUGAAGAAGGCCUUCGGGUUGUAAAGUACUUUCAGCAGUGAGGAAGGUGGAUGUGUUAAUAGCGCAUUCAUUUGACGUUAGCUGCAGAAGAAGCACCGGCUAACUCCGUGCCAGCAGCCGCGGUAAUACGGAGGGUGCGAGCGUUAAUCGGAAUUACUGGGCGUAAAGCGCAUGCAGGUGGUUUGUUAAGUCAGAUGUGAAAGCCCGGGGCUCAACCUCGGAAUUGCAUUUGAAACUGGCAGACUAGAGUACUGUAGAGGGGGGUAGAAUUUCAGGUGUAGCGGUGAAAUGCGUAGAGAUCUGAAGGAAUACCGGUGGCGAAGGCGGCCCCCUGGACAGAUACUGACACUCAGAUGCGAAAGCGUGGGGAGCAAACAGGAUUAGAUACCCUGGUAGUCCACGCCGUAAACGAUGUCUACUUGGAGGUUGUGGCCUUGAGCCGUGGCUUUCGGAGCUAACGCGUUAAGUAGACCGCCUGGGGAGUACGGUCGCAAGAUUAAAACUCAAAUGAAUUGACGGGGGCCCGCACAAGCGGUGGAGCAUGUGGUUUAAUUCGAUGCAACGCGAAGAACCUUACCUACUCUUGACAUCCUCAGAAGAGACUGGAGACAGUCUUGUGCGUUCGGGAACUGAGAGACAGGUGCUGCAUGGCUGUCGUCAGCUCGUGUUGUGAAAUGUUGCGUUAAGUCCCGCAACGAGCGCAACCCUUAUCCUUGUUUGCCAGGGAGUCAUGUCGGGAACUCCAGGGAGACUGCCGGUGAUAAACCGGAGAAGGUGGGGACGACGUCAAGUCAUCAUG
rnacentral:rRNA from 1 species